rnacentral:rRNA from 1 species
GACGAACGCUGGCGGCGUGCUUAACACAUGCAAGUCGAACGAAGAGCGAUGGAAGCUUGCUUCUCUCAAUCUUAGUGGCGAACGGGUGAGUAACGCGUAAUCAACCUGCCCUUCAGAGGGGGACAACAGUUGGAAACGACUGCUAAUACCGCAUACGAUCUAAUCUCGGCAUCGAGGAUAGAUGAAAGGUGGCCUCUACAUGUAAGCUAUCACUGAAGGAGGGGAUUGCGUCUGAUUAGCUAGUUGGAGGGGUAACGGCCCACCAAGGCGAUGAUCAGUAGCCGGUCUGAGAGGAUGAACGGCCACAGUGGGACUGAGACACGGCCCAGACUCCUACGGGAGGCAGCAGUGGGGAAUCUUCCGCAAUGGACGAAAGUCUGACGGAGCAACGCCGCGUGAGUGAUGACGGCCUUCGGGUUGUAAAGCUCUGUUAAUCGGGACGAAAGGCCUUCUUGCGAAUAGUGAGAAGGAUUGACGGUACCGGAAGAGAAAGCCACGGCUAACUACGUG